ACUUUUUUUUUUUUUUCCUGUGGGGAGCCGGUGACCGUCACAGUGCUUGCCGCUGCUGAAAGCUCCAAGUUCUGGAGCACUAGGGAACCCCUUGCUCUGGAGCAGGAACCCGAUUUCGAGGCCCAAACGCUGCAACUCAAGACCUCUCAGCAGAGUUUAGGAGUGGAGCUGGUUCUCCGCCCACACACGUGUAGGGCGGGUUUACCGCACGUACGGGUCACGUGCCAUUUGGUUACACCAACCUUGGGGCGUUUUCCACCGGGCUGGUCAGGUAGGGGAAACAAAUUGGAGCGCCAACAGAGGUAACAUCUUAAUUAACCAGGGUCCCCAUGGAGACCAGAGUGUUUCAAACGCAUCCCAUUUUUUACCAAGAAUUUUAUCCCCAACAACUCAGCUGGGGAAGACUCUGAAAGCAGCGCAUUUUGGGUCCACGGGCUUCACUGGACCAGCAGAGCGCUGAGCACGUGGGAAACACGUGGGAAGGCCUUGCCUCCUGGGAAAGAAAGUGAUGCCCCGGGGCCUUGCUUGCGCAGGUGUGAUGGAUCUCCAGCCGUUGCUGGGAGGUCUCCUCCCGGGCAGCCCAGCAGCCCCGAGGCUUCCAGAAAGCCUGUCCCGUCCCAAACCACUGCUCCUUCCCUGGAAGGGAGAGCUCUGGUCCAGAUCUCCAAACAAGCACGUGCGCUUUCCUUCUACGACGCAGUGGUGAGGAACUGCUUCGCUUUGAGACUUUAAACGGAGAAAAAGAGAAGGAGAAAAAAAGGGGGCAGGGAAAGUCUGGGGAAAAUGAAUAACGCAAUAGUCUUUGGGCAUCAGGACAGAACCGCCAGUAGGCACUACCCACUGAAGCGAAGGAACGAGACAGCGCUUCUCAACUGCGGUCCAGAAGAUCAAAAUCGGUGAAAGGGAUUUCUGCUCCCUCUUGGCGACCCUCACCGCUGGGCGGAGAGCGAGGCCAGGCCUGCGUGCCCAGCAGAGUCCCCUGGCCUUCUGAAAAGCAGUGCAGCAUUUCCAGCACUGUCAGGCGUAUCUAUGCACCCCAAGAUGCUUUGAAAGGACUUUGAAGUGGGGGAGUUGGGGGGGGCGGGGUGAAAUAAGGAAGAAAAAAUGUAAAAGGAAACAGGAAAUUCUAUUCCCUAUUUCUUCAAGUCAGCCCAGUAAGAGACCCCGACUGUCAGCUUCCCCCCUGCCAUUUCUUGUGCAUCAGGAAUGAACCUCAUUUUAAAAUAUAAACAAGCCAGAGGCACACCAUGGGGGGAGGCCCCUUUAAUUAACCACCAUCGGUUAAAAAAAAAAAAAAAAAAGGUCUCCACUUGGAUUAAGUUUGGGGUAGGGGUUCAACCCUGGUGUCAGAAUCCCUUUAAAUAAUUGCUAACACUCUCCCCACCUCCCGCCCCAAUGACUGAGGACUCUGCUUGGCUGCUGGCAGGAGCCAGAGAAGAAGAAAAGAAACUUUGUCUGUAGCACCCAAUUUAAAGGAGGCAGUGACCUCAGGGUCAAUUUCAGAUCAAUCCGAUUCUCACCUCCACUGCCUACCUGCUAGCAAAUGAAGUUACUGUGCUUUUCUAUAGACUGAAAGGGCUAAAAGGAAAUUGUCAUUUGCUGCAAGUGAUGACCCCCUGUUAGAGGAUGGAUGCUUGCUGAAAGGAACAUGGAAAACACCUCCCUUCCUCUUUUUUGUCAGUCUCACCUCACCAGUGAUUAAGGUGCCAGGAAAAGCAAAAAAAUGCAGACACUAAACAACAGCUUUACAGUGAUUUUUGGAUCGAGGAAAUGAAAGACUCAGCAAGCUGGAGGCGAAGAGAGUUUCAACAUUGGCAUCUGUGAACGGCAGCAAUAAAUCUGAGAUUCUGGCAGUGCCAGCACACACAGUGAUGUCAUUUGCUGAAGACACACUCCUGGAAUCUCUGAGGGGUUGGUCCACUCUCCAGAUCUGCAUGCCAGACUGCACCCUACUCUUUGCUGUCCUCCGCAGCGGGGCACUUACUCUGAAAGUGGAGUCCUGAGAGGCCCUGAGGGGUCUGCAGUGAAGCCAGAGUCCAGGCCAGCCACUGUUCUCAUGCAGGCUUUUCAAACACAGGCGCUGAGAAGUGAAAACUUAGGUUCUGUGUUUUUCAUACAGCCUUUGCCUGAGAACACCUGAUUUACCAUUUCUCUUAAAAGAUGUUGAUGGACUCUGCGAGGGAAAUAACGGUUACAGCAUCUGUAAUUCUAUGUCUGAAUUAAACAGCCGUGCUCAGGAACCCACAUGGACACUGGGCAUCAGGCAUCCAUGCUUGCAUUUUAUUUCUGGGUGAUCACGGGCAGCGAUGUGGGAGGACAUGUUAUACAAAAUAGAAACGAGAUUCCGGAGUCUUUUACUGUGUUUUUGUUUAUAUCCCAGCUGAUAACAGAGUAAAGCCUCCCUUAUGUUGGUUUGAAUUCACAUUGGUACAGUCAGGAUAAAACAUUUUCCACCCAGCUAACUGUAAGAUUAGGAAGAAAGAAAAACUGAUGGGUACUUAGAACCUGGGGCAGAGCUGUUUGUACGAAUUCCAUCAGGAAUCUCCCACGAGUGACGGGAAAGCUACAAACAGGCCUCUCCCCUGUGUGUGUCCCACCUGCCCUGCCCCAGGGCAGCUCUGUUAAGGCUCGGAUGCAUCCGGGUGGGUCUGAGAGAAUAUCAGGAACAUCUGUAAGGGUAGAGCAGACACAUCAGCUGGCUCAGGUCCACCACCACCUCCUGAAAUUAGCGUUUCAGCACACAAGACGAAAGAGCGUGUAUUAAAGGCCUGUCUGCUUUCAGUUUUGGUGCAAGCUAUGAGUAGCUGUUAAUCUCCUUUUGACAAUUCACCCUAAGAGACAGCCUCCGAGG
ensembl:lncRNA